GAUGACCGCUGGCGGCGCGCCUAACACAUGCAAGUCGAACGGAGUUGCGAACGGCUGAGUAACACGUGGGCAACCUGCCCUCCUCUUGGGGAUAGCCUCGGGAAACCGGGAUAAUACCCGAUAGAGAAGGAUGGCCCACGGUCUGUUAGCUUGUUGGUGGGGUAGGUGCCUACCAAGGAAAUGAACGGUAGCUGGGUUGCGAGAACGACCAGCCAGAUGGGGACUCAGACACGGCACAGACGCGUACGGGAGGCAGCAGUGGGGAAUCUUGCACAAUGGGCGAAAGCCUGAUGCAGCGACGCCGCGUGCGGGACGAAGGCCUUCGGGUGGUAAACCGCUUUCUGCAGGGACGCGGUACCUGCAGAAGAAGCCACGGCUAACUACGUGCCAGCAGCCGCGGUAAUUC
rnacentral:rRNA from 1 species